UAUGCUAUACUGGAUAAGUUGUCUGACAACCCUUGGUGCUUAUUUCCCUUUCACCAAGCAUAUUACAAACGGUAGAUCCGUUAAAGGAGAAACAAUG
rnacentral:ncRNA from 18 species